rnacentral:rRNA from 1 species
AUUGAACGCUGGCGGCAGGCCUAACACAUGCAAGUCGAACGAGUGGCGGACGGGUGAGUAAUGUCUGGGCAACUGCCUGAUGGAGGGGGAUAACUACUGGAAACGGUAGCUAAUACCGCAUACCAUCGGAUGUGCCCAGAUGGGAUUAGCUAGUAGGUGGGGUAAAGGCUCACCUAGGAGACGAUCCCUAGCUGGUCUGAGAGGAUGACCGGCCACACGGGAACUGAGACACGGUCCAGGCUCCUGCGGGAGGCAGCAAUGGGGAAUGGUGCACAACGGGGGCGAGCCUGAUGCAACGAUGCCACGUGUAUGGAAGAGACCUUCGGGGUGUAAAGUAGUUUCAGCGGGGGGGCGUUAGCCGCAGAAGAAGCACCGGCUAACUCCGUGCCAGCAGCCGCGGUAAUUC